rnacentral:lncRNA from 1 species
GGAGGUUUGGGGUAAAUAUGAAUUGAUGAGAAUGAAUGGUUUUUUCCAUCUAAUAUGUGAUAUAAUUUGAAUUUUAUGUUUUAAUCAUUGAAUAAUUAUAGUAUGUUGAAUUCUGAGAUCGGAGGUUUUUACGGAAUCGAAAUCGGAGGCCCGAAAGGCCUCCAACGACAAAAAUAGGUUGCUGGGUUGUUUUCGUAGCCCGUAACCGGUUACCGAUACCACUGUUACGUAAAAAAAUUAGGAAAUUGAAAAUGACAUAACUUGAGCUUCG